rnacentral:tRNA from 1 species
GGUCCCAUGGUGUAAGAGGCAGCACUCAGGACUCUGAAUCCUGAGUUCAAAUCUGAGUUCAAAUCUCAGUGGGACCU